rnacentral:rRNA from 1 species
UGCCAGACUCCUACGGGAGGCAGCAGUGGGGAAUAUUGCACAAUGGAGGGAACCCUGAUGCAGCGACGCCGCGUGGGUGAAGGAGCGUUUCGGCGCGUAAAGCCCUAUCGGCAGGGAAGAAGGAGGACGGUACCUGACUAAGAAGCCCCGGCUAACUACGUGCCAGCAGCCGCGGUAAUACGUAGGGGGCAAGCGUUAUCCGGAUUUACUGGGUGUAAAGGGGGCGCAGACGGCAGCGCAAGCCAGGAGUGAAAGCCCGGGGCCCAACCCCGGGACUGCUCUUGGAACUGCGUGGCUGGAGUGCAGGAGGGGCAGGCGGAAUUCCUGGUGUAGCGGUGAAAUGCGUAGAUAUCAGGAGGAACACCGGUGGCGAAGGCGGCCUGCUGGACUGCAACUGACGUUGAGGCCCGAAAGCGUGGGGAGCAAACAGGAUUAGAUACCCGGGUAC